rnacentral:rRNA from 1 species
UAUUGUGGCCAAACCUCCUCGUCAAAGCCUGAUCUCGUCGGAUCUCAGAAGCUGAGCAGGGCUGGGUCUGGUUAGUACUUGGAUGGGAGAUAUUUGGGAAAAACAGGUGCCACAGUGG